AGUGAACGCUGGCGGUAGGCCUAACACAUGCAAGUCGAACGGCAGCACAGUAAGAGCUUGCUCUUACGGGUGGCGAGUGGCGGACGGGUGAGGAAUACAUCGGAAUCUACUUUUUCGUGGGGGAUAACGUAGGGAAACUUACGCUAAUACCGCAUACGACCUACGGGUGAAAGCAGGGGAUCUUCGGACCUUGCGCGAUUGAAUGAGCCGAUGUCGGAUUAGCUAGUUGGCGGGGUAAAGGCCCACCAAGUCGACGAUCCGUAGCUGGUCUGAGAGGAUGGUCAGCCACACUGGAACUGAGACACGGUCCAGACUCCUAAGGGAGGCAGCAGUGGGGAAUAUUGGACAAUGGGCGCAAGCCUGAUCCAGCCAUACCGCGUGGGUGAAGAAGGCCUUCGGGUUGUAAAGCCCUUUUGUUGGGAAAGAAAAGCAGCAGGUUAAUACCCCGCUGUUCUGACGGUACCCAAAGAAUAAGCACCGGCUAACUUCGUG
rnacentral:rRNA from 1 species